AUUGAACGCUGGCGGCGUGCUUAACACAUGCAAGUCGUGCGGUAACAGGCGUAGCAAUACGUGCUGACGAGCGGCGAGCGGGUGCGUAAUACAUGGGAAUCUGCCCUUUAGUGGGGAAUAACCCGGCGAAAGCCGGGCUAAUGCCGCAUAAGAUCUUCGGAUGAAAGCGGGGGAUCGUAAGACCUCGCGCUGAUGGAUGAGCCCAUGUCGGAUUAGCAGUUGGUGAGGUAACGGCUCACCAAGGCGACGAUCCGUAGCUGGUCUGAGAGGACGGCCAGCCACACUGGGACUGAGACACGGCCCAGACUCCUACGGGAGGCAGCAGUGGGGAAUAUUGGACAAUGGGCGAAAGCCUGAUCCAGCGACGCCGCGUGUGUGAAGGAGGCCU
rnacentral:rRNA from 1 species